UGUUACUAAAAGUGCCACGAAAACUGAA
rnacentral:sRNA from 1 species